rnacentral:misc_RNA from 1 species
UAUGGUUGCCCANAGGCCGGUUCUUGUGUUGCCUACCCCCUCAGGGGAAGCGCGGUCCACUUGAUGUAAGCCUCCAUCCGGCGCCCCCAGCGGGCGCCGGAGGACAGCGGAGCACCCCCCGCGUUCCACCGAGCCCUCGYCGGUCGCGUGGCCCGCGGGGANGUGCGAUGCUCUCGGACCCAGCGCACGCCGUGGGCGGGGACUCGCUCCCCGGCCCCAAAGAGAAGCUCCCAUGCAAUCGCAUGACGGCCGCCCCCGCCCCUCGACCGCCCCGGCGGUGCGAGGGCGGGCGGCGUCGCGUAGGAACGCUACCUGGUUGAUCCUGCCAGUAGUCAUAUGCUUGUCUCCGCCCCGGCGGUGCGAGGGCGGG